CUAUUAAUUUUUUUUUUGCUUCCUUCUUUGGUCUUUUAUAAUCCUGGUAGUCGAAAAUAAGCGAAGACGCCAAGCGUGCUAAUCAUAAUGCUCUUGAGAGAAAGCGUAGAGUUUAUCAGAAGGAGCGUUUACAAGAACUAAGACAGUGUGUACCUAUAAUCAAUUCCGAUAAACCGUCAACUGUUGAGAUUUUGCAAAAGUCAACUGAGUAUAUUGAAAUUCUUCGAAACAAACAGGCUGUUCAGGAAAGAGAGAUAAACGAAUUAAAACGUAUUAAUUUGGAUCUUCUUGAACGUUUACAACAAAUUACUAACCAUAAGAUCGAGAUUCCUCACGAAUUUAGGCUGGUAAAAUUUGAAGAUCCAUUAUCCGGUCCGGAUGCUGCUGAUGUAGAAGAAGAAUCUUCAAACUUUUUGCAGGAUUUAGAUGAUUAUCCUGAUAUUAAACGUUUAGCUGCAGAAGAUGAAUACUUCGCUCAAACGAAAGUUAUAAAAUCUGAAGAAAUUGA